AGAGUUAAAAAGUACGUGAAACCGUUAAAAGGGAAGCAAAUGGCACUAGCAUUUGUACCUACCAUAAUCAAUCAGACGUCUUGAAGCCGUGCGGUGUAGGGAGUGUCAAAGCCUCUUGCCGUACGUUCGGAGAGUUCCUCUGGUGCACUUGUGGCUGGUACAGGUCAACAUCAGUUCGGACUGGGACACACGCGCAGUAGGAAGGUGGCUUGCAAUUUCGGUUGUAAGUGUUAUAGCCUACUGUGAACGUUUCGGGCUGGACUGAGGAGUCGCAGGUCGUGCUUUCGGGCUAGUUCCGUCGCCUCUGGCGUAGCAGAUCCGCUUCACUUGCAUAAGUAAGUAGAGUGGAUCCACGCAGCGUCACCGGUUGCGAGAUUCAUAAACGACCUUCGGAUGUUGACGAAAUGGCUUUAAACGACC
rnacentral:rRNA from 1 species